AGGUGUGAGGGCAAUCUAGCGACGAUAUCCAUCACCAAAUUGAUAGUUGAUCUCACUGAUUUGGCUGGCUAGGUGUGUGUCCCCUUCCUUCCUUACCCCUCCAUGUGCAUCCCUCCCAAAGCUGCAUGUUAGGUCGAAGAGGAUGACCUUCCCUGACAGAGGAGGACUGUUCUUUGAUCAAGAAUAUAUGAGUAGCUACAUUCCCCCGAUAUAAUCUCCAAACAAGCUCUCAGUGUCCAUUUAUAAAACAUAAGGUAGUCAAGCAUCUAAGACUCCUGGCACACUCAAACAUCCAAAUGAAGUGCUGCGUGUGGCAGUCUGCCCUUCCU
ensembl:misc_RNA 7SK 7SK RNA